rnacentral:rRNA from 1 species
GUUGUAUAGUCAAGUAAUUAAGUGCAUGUGGUGGAUGCCUUGGCAGUCAGAGGCGAUGAAAGACGUAAUAGCCUGCGAUAAGCUCCGGGGAGGCGGCAAAUAUCCUUUGAUCCGGAGAUUUCUGAAUGGGGGAACCCACCCGCUAUAAGGCGGGUAUCAUAAGCUGAAUACAUAGGCUUAUGAAGCGAACGAGGGGAAGUGAAACAUCUCAGUACCCUUAGGAAAAGAAAUCAAUUGAGAUUCCCUUAGUAGCGGCGAGCGAACGGGGAGCAGCCCAUUAAGUUGUGUGUGUUCUAGUGGAACGCUCUGGGAAGUGCGAACGUAGAGGGUGAUAUUCCCGUACACGAAAGGGCACACACAAUGAUGACGAGUAGGGCGAGGCACGUGAAACCUUGUCUGAAUAUGGGGGGACCAUCCUCCAAGGCUAAAUACUCCUGACUGACCGAUAGUGAACCAGUACCGUGAGGGAAAGGCGAAAAGAACCCCUGUGAGGGGAGUGAAAUAGAUCCUGAAACCGCAUGCAUACAAGCAGUGGGAGCCGACUUGUUCGGUGACUGCGUACCUUUUGUAUAAUGGGUCAGCGACUUAUAUUCAGUAGCAAGGUUAACCGUAUAGGGGAGCCGUAGAGAAAUCGAGUCUUAAUAGGGCGUUUAGUUGCUGGGUAUAGACCCGAAACCAGGCGAUCUAUCCAUGAGCAGGUUGAAGGUUGGGUAACACUAACUGGAGGACCGAACCCACUGUCGUUGAAAAGCCAGGGGAUGACUUGUGGAUAGGGGUGAAAGGCUAAUCAAGCCUGGUGAUAGCUGGUUCUCCCCGAAAGCUAUUUAGGUAGCGCCUCGGACGAAUACCAUUGGGGGUAGAGCACUGUUUCGGCUAGGGGGUCAUCCCGACUUACCAAACCGAUGCAAACUCCGAAUACCAAUGAGUACUAUCCGGGAGACAGACUGCGGGUGCUAACGUCCGUAGUCAAGAGGAAAACAAUCCAGACCGCCAGCUAAGGCCCCAAAAUCAUAGUUAAGUGGGAAACGAUGUGGGAAGGCAUAGACAGCUAGGAGGUUGGCUUAGAAGCAGCCACCCUUUAAAGAAAGCGUAAUAGCUCACUAGUCGAGUCGGCCUGCGCGGAAGAUGUAACGGGGCUAAAACUAUGUGCCGAAGCUGCGGAUUUGACAUUAGUCAAGUGGUAGGGGAGCGUUCUGUAAGCCGAUGAAGGUGUAUUGAGAAGUAUGCUGGAGGUAUCAGAAGUGCGAAUGCUGACGUGAGUAACGACAAAACGGGUGAAAAACCCGUUCGCUGAAAGACCAAGGGUUCCAGUCCAACGUUAAUCGGGGCUGGGUGAGUCGACCCCUAAGGCGAGGCCGAGAGGCGUAGUCGAUGGGAAAUUGGUUAAUAUUCCAAUACUUCUGUGUAAUGCGAUGAGAGGACGGAGAAGGUUAAGUCAGCCUGGCGUUGGUUGUCCAGGUGGAAGGUUGUAGGCAUGUAUCUUAGGCAAAUCCGGGGUACUCUAUGCUGAGAACUGAUAGCAAGCUGUACUUGUACAGUGAAGUGGCUGAUACCAUGCUUCCAGGAAAAGUCUCUAAGCUUCAGUUACACAGGAAUCGUACCCGAAACCGACACAGGUGGUCAGGUCGAGUAGACCAAAGCGCUUGAGAGAACUCUGCUGAAGGAACUAGGCAAAAUGGUACCGUAACUUCGGGAGAAGGUACGCUGCUGACGGUGAUGGGACUUGCUCCCUGAGCUAUUGGCAGCCACAGAAACCAGGCCGCUGCAACUGUUUAUUAAAAACAUAGCACUCUGCAAACACGAAAGUGGACGUAUAGGGUGUGAUGCCUGCCCGGUGCUGGAAGGUUAAUUGAUGGGGUUAGCG